AACGAACGCUGGCGGCAUGCCUAACACAUGCAAGUCGAACGAGACCUUCGGGUCUAGUGGCGCACGGGUGCGUAACGCGUGGGAACCUGCCCUUAGGUUCGGAAUAACUCCCCGACAGGGGUGCUAAUACCGGAUAAUGUCUUCGGACCAAAGAUUUAUCGCCUUUGGAUGGGUCCGCGUUGGAUUAGCUAGUUGGUAGGGUAAAAGCCUACCAAGGCGACGAUCCAUAGCUGGUCUGAGAGGAUGAUCAGCCACACUGGGACUGAGACACGGCCCAGACUCCUACGGGAGGCAGCAGUGGGGAAUAUUGGACAAUGGGCGAAAGCCUGAUCCAGCAAUGCCGCGUGAGUGAUGAAGGCCUUAGGGUUGUAAAGCUCUUUUACCCGGGAUGAUAAUGACAGUACCGGGAGAAUAAGCUCCGGCUAACUCCGUG
rnacentral:rRNA from 1 species